rnacentral:SRP_RNA from 1 species
CUCGGCUCCCCACGUGGCGCCAUCUUUCAAAACUCCCCCAGGGCCGGAAGGCAGCAAGGGUAUGAGAGCUCUGGCGGGUGCGUGGGGAGUCCCUUAU